CCUACGGGAGGCAGCAGUGAGGAAUAUUGGUCAAUGGGCGGAAGCCUGAACCAGCCAAGUAGCGUGCAGGAUGACGGCCCUACGGGUUGUAAACUGCUUUUAUACGGGAAUAACGCGCCUUCCGUGUAGGGCUUUGCAUGUACCGUAUGAAUAAGGUACGGCUAAUUCCGUGCCAGCCGCCGCGGUAAUACGGAAGGUCCGGGCGUUAUCCGGAUUGAUUGGGUUUAAGGGGAGCGUAGGCCGCAUGUCAAGCGUGCUGUGAAAUGUCCGGGCUCAACCCGGGCCUUGCAGCGCGAACUGGCGUGCUUGAGUCUGCGGAAAGCAGGCGGAAUUCGUCGUGUAGCGGUGAAAUGCUUAGAUAUGACGAAGAACACCGAUUGCGAAGGCAGCUUGCUGCAGCGGAACUGACGCUGAUGCUCGAAAGCGCGGGUAUCGAACAGGAUUAGAUACCCUAGUAGUC
rnacentral:rRNA from 1 species